GUGAAUGGAAUAAAGCAUUACAUACCCCAUUCCAUUCCUUCUAAAAUUGUUGAAAUCUAUUCCUGGCCUACCCCCAGUUUUUUCUCAUUCCAUUCAAUAACAAAAUGUUGUUUCUCUAUUUUGCCCCCAUCUUCACCGAUUACCCCUCCCCUUCCAUCAUUAUCUGAUUUGCACAUCCUCUAAACAAGGAAUGGAUUAUGAUUUUGGUUGUAUAUGUCGCCAUCUUCAUAGAGCAGACGUCACUCCUCUGGAACCCUAAUUUGCCCACUUCAUUGUGAUUUUCGUCAUCAGACACAAAAUCAGAUAACAGCUGUGUUAUCAUUGUGGUUGCUGGUGUUGGACCUUUACCAUAAAAGUUCAAACAGUUAUUCGAAGAGAAAUGGCAUAUGAUCCUUUUGAUGAUGAUGAGUUUAUUGACACAAAUAAUGAUGCGGAUGACGAAGAUCUUGGCUCAAAUGUGGAACAUAUUACAACAGUUGGGACCUCGAAUGAAUGGAUAAACUUCAGACAAAAUUUAGCAACAUCUAUGUUUAAUGCAUGGACUUCUAGACAUCAUUGAUUUAUUAGACCAUUACUUUUUAGUUAUGUUAUUUUGGUAAUGUUUAUUAAAUGUUUUUUGUUAGAAUAAAUCUGAAUGUUUUUAUGUGUUUG